UUUUGCUGGGGUGUAAGACCCCCUUUUCGGGGACUCCCACUCUAGUCUCGGGUGUGAGAGAGCACCCAAAGAAACACGAGAAUCC
rnacentral:pre_miRNA from 7 species